AGUGAACGCUGGCGGCGUGCCUAAUACAUGCAAGUCGAACGGACAAGUAAGAGCUUGCUCUUAUGAGUUAGUGGCGCACGGGUGAGUAAUGUAUAGCUAAUCUGCCCUACACUAGAGGACAACAGUUGGAAACGACUGCUAAUACUCUAUACUCCUGUCUUACAUAAGUUAGAUAGGGAAAGUUUUUCGGUGUAGGAUGAGGCUAUAUUGUAUCAGCUAGUUGGUGAGGUAAUGGCUUACCAAGGCUAUGACGCAUAACUGGUCUGAGAGGAUGAUCAGUCACACUGGAACUGAGACACGGUCCAGACUCCUACGGGAGGCAGCAGUAGGGAAUAUUGCUCAAUGGGGGAAACCCUGAAGCAGCAACGCCGCGUGGAGGAUGACACUUUUCGGAGCGUAAACUCCUUUUGUUAGGGAAGAACAAUGACG
rnacentral:rRNA from 1 species